rnacentral:rRNA from 1 species
UACGGAGGGUGCGAGCGUUGUCCGGAAUCAUUGGGCGUAAAGGGCGCGUAGGUGGCCCGGUCAGUUCGUGGUGAAAGCGCGGGGCUCAACCCUGCGUCGGCCAUUAAUACUGCCGCGGCUGGAGCACUGUAGAGGCAGGCGGAAUUCCGGGUGUAGCGGUGGAAUGCGUAGAGAUCCGGAAGAACACCGGUGGCGAAGGCGGCCUGCUGGGCAGUUGCUGACACUGAGGCGCGACAGCGUGGGGAGCAAACAGG